rnacentral:lncRNA from 1 species
CUUCUGAGGAUAAGGGAAGCUGAAGCCAAAGCACUAGUCGAUGUUGCUGCUGCUGCUGAAGUUGAAGCUGAAGCACAAGUUGUUGCUGAAGCUGAAGCUAAAGCCGCUGCUGAAGCACAGAAUGCUCUGACUCAGGGGGAGUCCUCUACUUUUGCCCCUCUGGUUCUCAGAACCCUUGAGGAGCUUCAGAAAGAGCAGAAGG